CUGUUCACUUCAGCACACAUAUGCUAAAACUGGAAAAAAAUAUAGAAAAUUAGCAUGGCCCCUGCACAAGGGAUGACAUGCAAAUUUGUGGAGGAUUCCAUAUAUAA
ensembl:snRNA U6 U6 spliceosomal RNA